CGGAGUAUAGCGCAGCUUGGUAGCGUGCCAUCUUGGGGUGAUGGGGGUCAUGGGUUCAAAUCCCGUUACUCCGA
rnacentral:tRNA from 1 species